rnacentral:lncRNA from 1 species
UCAAAUUGGUGCUUUCAUUGAGAGGUUCCUUCAAGGAGGUAACGCUUGAAUUCCAAUCUUCCAGAUCUGAAUUUACGUUGCAUAUUCUGUUUGAUCUAAGUUAAAAUUCAGAUCAUAGUUGUUGGGGAAGUUCAUAAAAAUUCUGCAUCCUAUAUUGGGCUUGAAUUUGUAUUCGAUUGGGGGAUGUUUAAUUCCUGUUUUUAGUAUUGUAAAACCCCUGUCGGAGGCUGAUUGAGUGGUGUACACGUCAGGUGGGUUGGUUCAUCCAUUGGGUGACAACCGCAGGAGGUUUGGGGACUGGUUUGAGAAGUUUCUGUGUUGCAGAAAAAUUCUGCAACAAGGUGUUUGUUUGGGGUGUUAAGAACAGGGUUUUCUGAAGCUUUAAUUUUGAUUUUUUGUGGAGAGUUUCUGAGGUUAUUAGUUACUGUUAUAAGUCUCUUUGAGGGGGGGGUUUGAGUCUGUCUUGAAGGUGAAACGGGCUGCUGAAGUUCGUGGACUGCCGCAGAAAUUUUCUGCAACCCAGAAAUUUUUGUGCAGCAAGUUUUGGGGAUUCUUGAGUUCGGAUUUUUGGGAGUUUGAGGGGCUGUUGUCUCAA